CUCUACGCAACUAUUUGGGCUUGGAAGACUCUCUUAUCUCUAAAACACGAAAAACAGAGCAACCCAAGAAGCGCCUCCCCAGAAUACCUCUAACGCACAUACCCACCUGUUUGUUCUUUACAUAUACGUCUCUUUUGGUUUUUGCUUAACUGGAUUUGCUUCACAACUAGCUGGAUUGAAAGCUUUCCUUCUCUGUCUUUGUCGGGUUCAUUUCAAAACCUGGACUGGCAUAGAACAGGGGCUCUGAGGCUCUGCUCUUUUCUGUUCUCUUCUGAU
rnacentral:misc_RNA from 1 species